rnacentral:rRNA from 1 species
UAUUAUUUUAUCUGAWAUAAAAGUAGACUGGAGUAGUAAUAGUUAUGUUCUUGAAACUCAGAGAAUUUGGCGGUAUUUUAGUCUUUUCAGAGGGAUCUGUCCUGUAAUUGAUAAUACACGUUUGGAUUACUUUAUUUUGUAAUCAGUUUGUAUACCGCCGUCAUAAGAAUAUCUUUUUAGAGGGUUUCAAUUUUCUAAAGGUAAGAGUAGAGAGAAUGUCAGGUCAAGGUGCAGCUAAUGAUAAAGUAGAGAUGGAUCACAAUAGCAUUAGUUAUUAUGAAUAAAAUUGAAUAUAUGGUUUUUGAAGGUGGAUUUGAUUGUAAAUUUGUUUUAAAUAAUGAAUUGGUUUUAGCUCUAAAAUGUGUACACAUCGCCCGUCGCUCUCGUUAAAUAUGAG